AUACGGAGGAUGCGAGCGUUAUCCGGAUUUAUUGGGUUUAAAGGGAGCGUAGGUGGGAUAUUGAGUCAGCUGUGAAAGUUUGGGGCUCAACCUUAAAAUUGCAGUUGAUACUGGUUUCCUUGAGUACGGUACAGGUGGGCGGAAUUCGUGGUGUAGCGGUGAAAUGCUUAGAUAUCACGAAGAACUCCGAUCGCGAAGGCAGCUCACCGGGCCGGAACUGACACUGAUGCUCGAAAGUGCGGGUAUCAAACAGGAUUAGAUACCCUGGUAGUCCGCACAGUAAACGAUGAAUACUCGCUGUUUGCGAUACACGGUAAGCGGCCAAGCGAAAGCGUUAAGUAUUCCACCUGGGGAGUACGCCGGCAACGGUGAAACUCAAAUGAAUUGACGGGG
rnacentral:rRNA from 1 species